rnacentral:tRNA from 9 species
GGCCUGGUGGCAGAGUGGUCAUGCAGCGGCCUGCAAAGCCGCGUACGCCGGUUCGAUUCCGACCUAGGCCUCCA